rnacentral:rRNA from 1 species
CAAGUCGAGCGAGGCGGGGUAGCAAUACCCCAGUCGAGCGGCGAACGGGUGAGAACGCGUGGAUAACCUGCCCAGAGGUGGGGGAUAACCCGGGGAAACUCGGGCUAAUACCGCAUGAUACCGUGAGGUCAAAGGGGGGCCGCAAGGUCUCUCGCCAUUGGAGGGGUCCGCGUCCGAUUAGCUAGUUGGUAGGGUAAUGGCCUACCAAGGCGACGAUCGGUAGCCGGCCUGAGAGGGUGAUCGGCCACACUGGAACUGAGACACGGUCCAGACUCCUACGGGAGGCAGCAGUGGGGAAUUUUGCGCAAUGGGCUAACGCCUGACGCAGCAACGCCGCGUGGAGGAUGAAGGUCCUUGGAUUGUAAACUCCUGUCAGCGGGGAAAAAGCGACCGGUGCUCAUACCACCGGGAGUUGAUUGUACCCGCAGAGGAAGCCCCGGCUAACUCUGUGCCAGCAGCCGCGGUAAUACAGAGGGGGCAAGCGUUAUCCGGAAUUAUUGGGCGUAAAGGGCGCGUAGGCGGCUUCGCAAGUGGAAGGUGAAAUCCCUCGGCUUAACCGAGGAACUGCCCUCCAAACUGCGUUGCUUGAGGCCGGGAGAGGUGAGUGGAAUUCCCAGUGUAGCGGUGAAAUGCGUAGAUAUUGGGAGGAACACCAGUGGCGAAGGCGGCUCACUGGACCGGUUCUGACGCUGAUGCGCGAAAGCGUGGGGAGCAAACGGGAUUAGAUACCCCGGUAGUCCACGCCGUAAACGAUGAGUGCUUGGUGUAGCGGGUAUCGACCCCUGCUGUGCCGAAGUCAACACAUUAAGCACUCCGC